GCUCCAGUGGCUUAGUGGUUAGAGCGUCUUCCACGGAUGCGAGAGCUCAUGGGUUCAAUCCCCGGUCGAGUCA